ensembl:lncRNA
UUAAUAGUCAUGUGACUUUUUUUUCUGCCAGCCAUGUGCUCCGUAUCAUUUUACUCUGAAAUAACUAUGCGGAUUUCAGCUCAACCCUCCCUUUGCUUAUAAUGCAUGACAUACCCCGUGAGGGAGCCUGAGAACAGACUCCCUUGAAAAGCAAGGUUCUCAUAGUUGGCCUGUAACCAUGGAAGCAGAUGCCGUUUUCUUCUUACCCUGCUUACCUCUUUGCAGCCUCGAGCUGCUCCUUAUUGUUAAAAGGGGUACGCCUUGAUUUUUCUUCAUCAUGACCGAACUUGCCUCUUCUUCAAAGGGCAUCAUGCUGCAGGUCAUUGGUCUAGACUGUUUGCACGGUCCAGAGAACAGCCUUGAUGUAACCCUUGCUCCGUCUGAGCCACACCACCAGCCGUGCAUCUGCAGACUGUAGGGGACAUUGGAGAUCUGUAUUUGAAAAGAAGUCUGUCUGAUUUUGCCAUUGUGCCUUUUCACUCAUCGAUCGAAUGAAUAUCGAACCUUCUGUCGUUGCAUGUGUGAAAUAGAUAGCUUAGCAAGCACUUUUGUGCCCAACCUGUGCAGUGGGCCAAAAGGUUUUCUUUUUAAUCUUCAGAUUUUUUUUUUCUUCAGACUUUAUGAAUUUCGUGUUAGCUUAAAUUAUUUAUAUGCCUUUAUCCAACUGUUAUGAUGACCGUUUCAGUGACUUCCUCAGCAGUGACUUUCUUUCAGGGGUAGAUGGAGCAUUUCUUUUUCUGUUAACUGCUUGGUAGCUUUUUAAGCUCCUUUAACUUAACUUGUUUAUGCUAGAAAUGGCGUAGGUUUUACUGUACUCUAUUAAGCCAAAAAGUUGAGGUUUCUUUUUUAAGGGGAAGAUGUGAUGAUUUCUAUCAUUGAACAGGCUUAAUUCCAGAAAGGUGAACUUGAACUGCCUCGAGGUAAUUUCAGUGAUUUGUAAAAGCAAAGGGGAGGUCCAUAGCAGAAUAAAGAAGGUUAUUGUGACAGAUGAAACAUAAUUCACAAUGAGUACUCUUUUCAUCCAGCCUUAAGCAGCAGAGGAUUACUUUCAAGCUGAAUUUUAUGGCAGAACAUAUGAACUGAGUUGUUUUUUCUUUGUUUUUUUUUUUAACAUGCAAGGAUAGAGCAAAGACAGAAAAACUCUCUUCAAUUGCGUGGUGUUUAUUUUGUGUGUAUCUCUUUGGGGCUCUUAAUUUGUUUCAUCUAAAACAGAAGAUAUGCUGGCCAGCAGAGUCUGAUGCAACCGAGGGAGUAGAUUGGGAGGGUAGGAAAUAUGAAAUUUAAAGCAAUAAAAGUUGUGGUUUUCCUGUGUAUAUAAUGAAUGAUACAUGAGGAGUUAAAUAUAUUUCUACAUUUUUGGCAUACAUAUGAAAUAAAAAUGAUACUUUUUUCAACAAAUGCAUGAGCUGCAAAAGUAGAUAAACUUCCUAAAAAUUCAGAGCCACUGCACAUGAUUAUUUGGGCUGUGCCCUGCAAAAUGGAGGCCAACCUGGGAGCAUUGGAAAAGAUCUAAAAGGUGUUGGCAGAUACAUACCUCCAUAGAUUCAGGUUGGGAAAACAACGUGCCCCACUAUAAUUCCUCAAGUUUUUGCCUUCUCAUAAAGCCAGAGCAAACAGUGAACCCAAGGACAGGGGACCAAGAUAUGCAGAAACCAUCAACCCUUGGAAGGACAAGCCCAAUGGUAGAAAGCUUUAAUAUGGACCACUGAACAAAAAGAAGGAGAGCCUAGAAUCCAGUUAGUAUCUGUGCACCUCUGUAUUAGCCUUCUGGCCUAUUCUCAGAAGUCGUAUGGUACAGAGACCCAUACAUAUGCUUUGGGCCCUUCAUCACUGUAGCAGACAGAGACUUCUGUCCUUCACACAUGAAAUCCUAGUAGUCAUAUUUCCAACCACGAUUAGGUGUAGCUCUUGGGAUAUUCUAGAAUUCAUACAUGCACAGUAUGUAUGCUAAAGAAGGAAUUCAUACAUAGAACAGAAGUUAUCGGAUACUUUAUCAGGCAUAUUCAACACCAAAAAUAUGCUUCUGAAGUGGUUUGUUUUACCUAUUGCAAUCAUAAUUUCUGAUCCCCC